rnacentral:rRNA from 1 species
GAUGAACGCUGGCGGCGUGCUUAACACAUGCAAGUCGAACGGAAAGGCCCAAGCUUUCUUGGGUGCUCGAGUGGCGAACGGGUGAGUAACACGUGGGUAACCUGCCCUUCACUUCGGGAUAAGCCUAGGAAACUGGGGCUAAUACUGGAUAGGAGCACUUGCUGCAUGGUGGGGGGUGGAGAGUUUUGGGGGUGGGGUGAGCUCGCGGCGUAUCAGCUUGUGGUGGUGGUGUUGGCGCUCACCAACGUCGUGAGGGGUACGGCGUGUGAGGGGGUGAGGGGCCAUAGUGGCAGUGAGACAGGGCACAGUCCUCCAGGGGGCAGAAGUGGGGAAAAUUGUACAAUGGGGGCGAGACUGAGGCAGAGACGCCGCGUGGGGGGGGACGGGCUUCUGGUGGUAAACACCUCUCGCGAGGGACGAAGCGUGUUUGUGACGGUACCUGGAAAAGAAGCACCGGCUAACUACGUG